rnacentral:rRNA from 1 species
AGCUCCAAUAGCGUAUAUUAAAGUUGUUGCAGUUAAAAAGCUCGUAGUUGGAUUUCUGUUGGGAGCCGCCAGUCCGCUCCUUUGGAGUGCGCACUUGGUAAAUCUCAGCAUCCUCCUGGUAUUGCGUUGUUCAUCUCACGGUGGGGAGCGUAUUUCCAGGACUUUUACUUUGAGAAAAUUAGAGUGUUUCAAGCAGGCUUGUUGCCUUGAAUACUGCAGCAUGGAAUAAUAAGAUAGGAUUUCGGUUCUAUUUUGUUGGUUUCUAGGACUGAAGUAAUGAUUAAUAGGGACAGUUGGGGGCAUUCGUAUUUAACUGUCAGAGGUGAAAUUCUUAGAUUUGUUAAAGACGGACUACUGCGAAAGCAUUUGCCAAGGAUGUUUUCAUUAAUCAAGAACGAAA